GAUGAACGCUGGCGGCGUGCCUAAUACAUGCAAGUCGAGCGAAUGGAUUAAGAGCUUGCUCUUAUGAAGUUAGCGGCGGACGGGUGAGUAACACGUGGGUAACCUGCCCAUAAGACUGGGAUAACUCCGGGAAACCGGGGCUAAUACCGGAUAACAUUUUGAACCGCAUGGGUCGAAAUUGAAAGGCGGCUUCGGCUGUCACUUAUGGAUGGACCCGCGUCGCAUUCGCUAGUUGGUGAGGUAACGGCUCACCAAGGCAACGAUGCGUAGCCGACCUGAGAGGGUGAUCGGCCACACUGGGACUGAGACACGGCCCAGACUCCUACGGGAGGCAGCAGUAGGGAAUCUUCCGCAAUGGACGAAAGUCUGACGGAGCAACGCCGCGUGAGUGAUGAAGGCUUUCGGGUCGUAAAACUCUGUUGUUAGGGAAGAACAAGUGCUAGUUGAAUAAGCUGGCACCUUGACGGUACCUAACCAGAAAGCCACGGCUAACUACGUGCCAGCCGCGCCGUAA
rnacentral:rRNA from 1 species